CCAUUUUUCCCCAUUUUUCCCAUUUCCCCCCAUUUUUUCCCCAUUUCCUCCCCGUUUCCCCCCUCCCUGCCCGUUUUCACCAAUUUCCCCGUUUUUCUCCCCAUUUUUCCCCAUUUUUCCCCAUUUCCCGUUUUUUCUCCCCGUUUUCCUCCCCGUUUCCCCCCUCCCUGCUGGUUUUUCCCAAAUUCCCGUUUUUUCCCCCCGUUUUCCCCCAUUUCCCGUUUUUCCCCCCAUUUUUCCCCAAUUCCCUUUUUUUCCCGCCCGUUUCCUCCCGUUUCCCAUUUUUCCCCCCGUUUUUCCCCAAUUCCCAUUUUUUCUCCCCGUUUCCCCCCGUUUUUCCCCAUUUCCCAUUUUUCCUCCCCCGUUUUUCCCAAAUUCCCAUUUUCCCCAAUUCCCAUUUUUCCCAAAUUCCCGUGUUUUUGCCCCGUUCCAGGCGCAGGACGAGUGGCGCUCCCUGGCCAUGGCGCUGGACCGGCUCUGCCUGUGGGCGCUGCUGGCGCUGACGGGCGGCUGCGCCCUGGCCACGGGGCUGGACGCGGCGCUGCACCGGCCCCCCGACACCCCCUUCCCCUGACAGCACCCAAAACUGCCCCAAUUCACCCCAAAAAUAGCCCCAAAAUAGCCCCAAAAUAUCCCCAAAGUAUCCUGAAAAUAUCCCGAAAAUAUCACCAAAAUAUCCCAAAAUAUUCGGAAUUUAUCUCAGAAAUAUUCUGAAUUUAGCCCAAAAUUAUCCCCAAAAUAUCCCCAAAAUAGCCCCAAAAUAUCCCGAAAUUAUCCCCAAAAUAUCCCCAAAAUAUCACCAAAAUAUCCCAAAAUAUUCGGAAUUUAUCUCAGAAAUAUUCUGAAUUUAGCCCAAAAUUAUGCCCAAAAAUAUCCCCAAAGUAUCCCCAAAAAACCCCCCAAAAAAUCUCCAAACAAAAUCUCCAAAAUUACCCCCAAAAUUUCUAAAAAAAAACCCCAAAAAUCCCCAAAAAAUUCCCCCAAAAAUUCCCCCAAAUUUUCCAAAAUUAUCCCAAAAUAUCCCCCAAAAAUCCCCAAAAAUUUCCCAAAAAUCCCCAAAAAAAUCCCCCCCAAAAAAUCCUCAAAAAAUCCACCAAAAAAUCUCCAAAAUCUCCCAAAAUAUCCCCAAAAAAUUCCCCAAAAAAAUCCCCAAAAAUUUCCCAAAAAUCUUCCCAAAAACCCCCAAAAAUCCCCAAAAAAUUCCCAAAAAAAUUCCAUAAAAUCCGCCCCCCCCCAAAAAAAAAAAUCUCCCAAAAUAUCCCAAAAAAAUUCCCCAAAAACAUCCCCAAAAACUUCCCAAAAAUCUUCCAAAAAUCCCCCAAAAAUCCCCAAAAAACCCCCUAAAAUUUCCCCAAAAUUCCCCAGAAAAAUCCCCCCCUAAAAAAUAAAAAAAAUCCCCAAAAAAUUCCCCA
rnacentral:lncRNA from 1 species